rnacentral:lncRNA from 1 species
CUGGACUAAUUAAAAAAAUUAUAAUAAUAAAUAAUUAGAUUACAUAGUACAUAUUUGAGUAACUUUAUUUUAGUCAAUAAAUUUACAUAGUUGUCUAACAAAGAGAGAGUUUAAGGAGAGGAUACAUUUGAAAUUAGUGCGGCGAGAGACAGCAUCAGGAAGAAUAUUAUACAGAGAAAUAGUUUUAUCUAAGUGACGGAACAAGAAAAACCAUGAUCUAUUUGGAAUAUCUGGAACAAUGGCAUCGUCCUGAUGAGCACAAUCAAACAAUGUCUGCCUUAUUAUUAAGGUAAUAGUAAAUUUAGAUUUGGAACUUUAGGGAUUGGACAUUAUGGCCUGAAGUCUACUCAAAGAGUGAGAAAAUUAUGGAUUUUUCUAAUUUAUGCAAUUUGGUAAAGUGAGCAGUUUCAAGGAUUGCAAUAGAUUCCUCAGUAAAUACAGAAAUGCAAGAUUUAAAACAAAGUAUGACAAGGGAGUUAGAAAUCCAAACAGGCAAAUCCACACUUGUCAUUUGAUAAUUUAGAGGCAUCACAGAACAUUGGUAACCAAUCCUAUUUUGAGCUCAUUUCAUUAAGAACAUUGUUUGCCUCAAUUGUAACUUUAUUUAUGACCAAAAUUAAGGACAGAGGGUUUAAAAAUUAGGGUCUUGUAAGCAAGGAAGAACAAAGGACUGCGUGAAGAUUGGGAUGUUGGGCAAGGUAAUUGGAGAAACUACAAAAACUGAGUAAAAGACAAGGAGUAGAUUACUUGGAGACGACUCCGAAAAGGUUUUAAGUUUAUCUAAAAGAGGGGGAGACAAUGAACAAGUUUGAAGAAAAAUAUGUCCCACAGGUACUGACAACGGAUAUGAAAGGGAGGUUUAACAGACUCUACUUGCAAGGGAUUGAGAGCAGAUUUUAUAGGCCCCCUAUCUAUGCAUUAACACUUAGCCUGUGUUUUAUGCUUACUAUCCAUACCUUACUUAUUACAAUGGUCUAGCAUGAAAGAACCAUAAUUAUGAUGACUUCUAAUAAUUGUAUUAUCAAGCAAUUUUUGAACCUCACCAAACUCCAGACAGAGAAUGUAUGAUGUUAAUUGUUUUGUUUAAGGACACGCAAUAUUUAGGUAAAUGAAACAUUUAUUCAGCUUCAUAGCUGAAAGUGACGGUGACAUUUCUUCUACCCACUUCAGUCAGACUUUUUAUUAACAAAUAUCAAGGAAAUGGGGAAACAUACCUAUGCUAAUACAUAACAUUAAUCAACUUCUUACAUUUUUGAGAAAUAUAACAGUGGGUCAUGCCAGUCAUCGUAGAAACUAGUAAAUAAAAAUUUUGGUUUGAUAAAUCUGAGUAUCACCAAUAAGGAAUUUGGCUGGAGGAAUAUUUUAUUUUAGUAAACAACACUAAAUUACAUUUAGGUGUUGAUAGGCUGAGACCGUGAACAUAUAACCAAUCACUUAAGUAUACUCGGACCGAGUUUAAGGUAGAUUCUACGGUGAACAAAUUUUGGAGAUGAAUAAAGUACUAGGUCAUUGGCAUAUUGUAGAACUUGACAGAAUCUGUUCAUUACUAUAUCAAGAUCAUGAGUGUAAAUGUUGCAAAGUAGAGAGCUCAGCACUUAACCUUGGGGUAGGCUUUUUCAUGCAGUUCUAGGAGGUAAAAAUGUUUUAUUGAUUUUGAUUACAACUUAGCUGCUUGUGAAAAA